GUGUUCUAGUUCUCUCUGAAAUCAUGGGAAUGUACUUUGUCUCCUCUAUCCUUUUGAUAAGAAAAAGCCUGGCAACAGAGUACAGGUUGAUCAUAACAGAUGUAUUAGGAGGAGAUAUUCAGUUUGACUUUUAUCACCGAUGGUUCGAUGCGAUCUUUGUGGCCAGUGCCUUUCUUUCUCUACUUUUGCUUUCUGCACAUUAUACAUCAAAGCAAGCUGACAAACACCCAAUAGAUUAACUCAAAUAAGAUUGAGAAUACUGGGUAGCUUGGAGAAAUCAAUUGAAGCCUACGGAACACCUUGAGAUCGGAUUAUCAGUUAGGCUGGAUUCUGGCCUUGUCUGGAUGCAUGGAGUGCAGUAAUAACGAAGAACGUUGGCAUUGUGGUCGUGGGAUGGGAUGAAUUCUUUUUUGCUCAUCCUCUUGUAUAGAAAAGGGUUUGACUGGCAGUAUCAAACCUUUUUCCUUCAGUAGUAGGUCAGUAUUCGAUUUAUUGAUUAUGUUUCCUAUAUAAUAGCAUUGUCUCAGAUUAUGUCAAGCAGUGAAAAGAUGAGUUUAUUAUAUCUGUGCUUGGUUUUUUU